CUUCGUCUCGUAAGUGUUGCCUAAAAUUUUUAAUACCUUUCUCAGAAAUAAAACUUACAAUUGGUAUAGCUCUGCUUCCCAAUUUCCAGUUUUCCAUCGAUUUUGAAAUAAAAACGAAUCCAACUUAAUAGAAAUAUUUCUCAAACGAGAACGAGCAAGGAAAGGGGCCAGAUUUAGGGUUCUACAUUGUGCUGGAAAAAGUGAGCACGGCGAUGGGGAGAGACACGGAGAGUGACGAAGAGAACGAGAGAAAGGGAGAUCCGCCAUCGAAGGAGGAAGAAGAGAAAGAUGGAGAAGGCGACAAUGGAGAGAGAAGUCGCCACCGCCGCUUCUUGCACCUCUAGGGCUAUAUCUGCCUUGCGCUGCUGUUGCCGGAUCUGCCGCUGCUGUAAUCCCUCUUCUCUGCCUUGCGCGGCCGUCUUUGGUCGUCGUCGGCUCGUUAAUGCCUCACAUCCUCGCUGCUCUGCUUGAGCCGUCUCUGCUGUAAUCCUCACUGCUCGCUGCAAUCAUGUCUCAGUGUUUUUCCCUAGCUUGUGGUUAGUACGGGCAACCGCAGAAGAUUUCAGAGUUGCUGAUGCUCCUGCCAAGGUUUUCUUUCUUCUGAUGGAAAACAAUGAGGAGAUUCUUCCAUUUUGCACACAGAUUCUUCAGUUCCAGGCUCAGUGG